GAGGUGGAGGUCACCAUCCUCCCCCCGUCCUUGGAGGACCUCUACCUCAGCCAGAACGCCAGCGUCACCUGCGUGGCCACCAACCUGAAAUCUUCCGAGGAUGUGAAAUUUUCCUGGAAACGGGAAGAAGGCAAAGCCUUGGAUGUGACCAAGGGACCGGUGGAGAACCUGGAGAACGGGCUUUACCGCCUCACCAGCACCCUGAAGAUCUGCGCCGACGAAUGGAAUUCCGGCGAGAAGUUCAUCUGCACCGUCACGGUCCCCGAGCUCGACCAACCCAUCGUCAGGUCUAUUAAGAAAAUGAUAGACGUCUCCGUGAAGGCACCUUCCGUCUACGUCUUCCCCCCACCGGCUGAGGAACUGGCCCGUCAGGAAACGGCCACCUUGACCUGUCUGGCUUUGGGGUUCCGCCCCCGUGACAUCCUGGUGACCUGGACCCAACAGGACCGUCCCGUCUCCCCCGAUAGCUUCUCCAUCUUUGGUCCUGAAGAAGAAGGAG